GACGCUGUCGUUUCAGCGCCAUUCUUUCUAGUGUUGUGGAUGGUUGGGGUGGUCGAGUUUUCGUCAUUUAUUCUUGAAGUUGAGCUGAUAAUCGAUAGCUGUGUUGUUAUCUGAUAUUUCGAUGAGGAUGGAGCCUCUGGUAUAGUGGUGCAAAUGGUCAACCACGACAACUCCGCAUGGUGCGGAGCUAUCAACUGCAGCAACUCAAAGAAGCAGAACCCGGGCAUCUCAUUUCAUCGUUUCCCCAAGGAUCCGAAAUUGAGCAGACAGUGGAUCCAGUGCUGCAGACGGGCAGAUCUGCUAAACAAGUCUGCAGAUUACUUGCACAUCAAUGUGAGGCUUUGUUCCGCACACUUUGAGGCCUCUCAGUUCUACCCAAAGGGCAAGAGACUACUGCGAAAUGCAGUACCGACCAUCUUCAACGUGCCAAACCCGCCUCGGCCUAUCGCCACCAAGCGACCUCUCUGUGAGCGGAACGACCCUCCGCCUAAAAGAA